rnacentral:rRNA from 1 species
GACGAACGCUGGCGGCGUGCUUAACACAUGCAAGUCGAGCGGAAAGGCCACUUCGGUGGUACUCGAGCGGCGAGCGGGUGAGUAACACGUGAGUAAUCUGUCCCUGGCUUUGGGAUAGCCACCGGAAACGGUGAUUAAUACCGGAUAUGACCACUUCUCGCAUGGGUUGUGGUGGAAAGUUUUUCGGCCAGGGAUGUGCUCGCGGCCUAUCAGCUUGAUGGUGAGGUAAUGGCUCACCAUGGCUUCGACGGGUAGCCGGCCUGAGAGGGUGACCGGUCACACUGGGACUGAGACACGGCCCAGACUCCUACGGGAGGCAGCAGUGGGGAAUAUUGGACAAUGGGCGGAAGCCUGAUCCAGCAACGCCGCGUGAGGGAUGACGGCCUUCGGGUUGUAAACCUCUUUCAGUACCGACGAAGCGCAAGUGACGGUAGGUACAGAAGAAGCACCGGCCAACUACGUGCCAGCAGCCGCCGUAACAC